CCACACUACCAGUGACCUGAGCAUAAUGAUCUAUGCUAUGGUUAACAGUCUCUACUAUACACUUGAACACUGUGGCAUGGCCAAAAUGCUCUGAACAUUUCUACACAUCUACUUUUAGUAUGUGUUUUUCUCUCUUGAACAAAUUGCAGAUCACACCAUUCCAGAUCACAAUUUGGAUAGUCCUGAUAGAAGGACUGGCCUCAUCCCAACUCCUGUCAUCUCUAUUUCAGCUACCUGUGGUUUUGUGGUUUUUUUGUUUGUUUGUUUUUUAACAAACCUCAUCAUAUUUGUCAUAUAACAGCUAACAUAUUCAAAUAAGUCUUUGCCCCUAAAAUGUGUUUCUAUUAGGGUGAACAGUGUGUUUCCUUUCUGACUACCUGAGCAAUGUUCCAUGUGCACAGUGCCAUGUCAUCUGAGACUGAAUUCCUGGUUACUUAGUAGUGAUAAAGCCAUGUAGCUAACUACCGGUCUCCCCUACCCCAUUCCACACACAUCGCUUCUUUUCUCACUGUAAGCUACCAAAAAUAAUCCAAACAUGGUGUUCAAUUCCACUGCAACAAUUGUCCAUUAGUGAUUAAUGAGUAAAAUCACUGACUCUGAUAAAAGAACACAAGACAGAUAAAGACCUGAAGACAGCCAGGCUUUAGAAAGCCUGGAGGAAGAGGAAUCCAUAAAGAGAUCAAAGGCAAGCUGAGCAUGCAAGCUCUAAAGCAAUAGGUAAAGGGGAAGGAAGAGGAAAGAAUGAGAUUCAAAACCAAGACUUAACAAUUUCAAGAAAGGCUGAUAGACUCCACAGAAGCUGACAACUGGAGAAGGCAAGCUAGCAGGGGUGAGUACCUUGAGGAGUUAAUGGAUAACUGUGACUUCAUUUGGGCUGUGUAACAGAAGAGGAAGAAAGACAAAAGAGCUCACAAAACAGAAGCGGCUGCUGCUUGUGUUUUUCUUUUCCUAGUGGACAGUCUUGCUUACAUGUGGAAAGGGAAUUUGAAAAAGACAGUAAUUCAUAGAGCAAGACCUGGAAGCAGAAAGCAAAUGCCAGCUAAGAAUAGGAAUGAAGAUUCAGGUGAGAUGAGGCUGGAGUGGUACCCUGAAUUUGCCAGGACAAGGCCAGGAGAGGUGUGUGGAGGGGGUGGGGCAGGGACAAGCAUUCCGUGGUUGAGUGGUGGAGGCAGAAAUGAAGGCUCAGAUAAACUGUCUGAGGGACUGGAGGUUGUUUGUGUGCUGUCAGUUGAGAAGGAAUCCACUUUUCUAGAUUGGAGAUUUUUUGCCUUUGUGGUUGCAACAGCUUCACCCCUUUCUCCACUCUUACUUUUAAAUACCCCAUACUUCCAGGCUCUUCCUAAAUGAAGAAUAAAGACUUGACUGACAUUUCUUCUCAGCACAUGACCAAAGCUCCUUUUGAAAAAUCUCAAAAUAACACAGGAAAUACUGAAGGGCUAAUGGCUCUGACUCCUACGGCUAAGUUACCCUUACAGAGGAAAGAAAAAUUAAGUGGAUCAGUGUGUGUGGUAAAACUCUUAAGACAUUCUUAAUGAAGUAUAGUUUGUCUACCAGGUGAACACAGCAUUCUGAAACAUGUUUUGGUAAACCAGAGGAGUUAAAAAAUGUGGAUCAGGAAGGCACGGUAUAGCACCAUGGCGACGUCUCAAGGAAAUGGGCUUUCAAAGCAUCGAUUGUGCAAGGGCAGCUGAGUCACAGAGGAAAUUAUGAGCCUGAAUCCUGUUAAGACAUCACUGGUUCCAAUAAAUACUCUGGUCUUCUUCCAUCUCUUCCAGCACAUCUGUGUGGUCUUCUUGGUUGGAGGGUCAUACAGCUGCCCAUGAGUAACCACCACUAAUCUUUCCUGUUGUUGAUUUUAGCUUUCACUUAAUUAAUAAUCCAUGUUGCGUCCUUGCCUUUCAUUCACUUUGGCUUAUUACAAAACCUGAUAAGACACUGGUCGCAUAGCUUACAACUUCCGGAUCUUGCCUUCCAUUCAAUUAGCCUGGCUGCCAUUAUUCCUAGCUGCAGGUAGCUGAGAGCGUCAGUAUAGUCUGAAGAGUAGAAGAGUACUAAAUGUUUUCCAGUGUGGCUUUUGAUGUACUGUGAACAGUUGAUAGGAAUCAUAUAAAUGACAUCAUUCACAGAAGCUAAAUGUUUUUGAACAGAGACAGAUCAGCAGACGCAGCACUCCCUGGGUAUUAGGGCAAGGGUUAAACAUUGUUGAUCACUGUUAUGUCCUGUAAAGAGUAUCUGUUGAGACUGUUUAAGUCUUUGUCUCUAAGCACCUUGUGUUGGUUCUCCAUGAACAAAUAGAACUGUUGGGAGUAGGCUGUUUGAUAGAGACUCCCUACUGCCUAACAUCUGUAAAUGGAGAAUAGUCCAGGAAGAAUGGCACUCCAGCUGCAAGUUACAGUAGAAGCUGGCUGCUGAGGGCAGGAUUCCUGUGUAGGAGUUCACAGCCUGUGUCAGCAGAGGAAACUUCCACUGGAAGCAAGUCAAGCCCCAAUGAACUUUACAUGACCUGGCCUAUAGUGUCUCUAGAGAGCACCAUGUCUGGUUGAUAGGACCUUUCAGAGGCUGUCAUCAAUCAGACCCAAGGAAAGAAGAACACAACCCCUACUCAGCAAAAAGUGAUGAUUGACAGACAGGAGGGCUAAACCUAUCCUUGGCUGCCAUUGGUCUUGAUGAGAAAGAAAGGUUUUUGGUGAUUAAUAUAAAGUGAGACCCACCCAGUUUGUAUACUGCACCCAUGGCUUACAGUACUUCUGGCUGCAUAGCCUGUCUAUCUUAUUUCACUAUAAAUUAGUCAAGAUGAGCUCUUGUUCUUACAGCAUUAGGCCCACUAAAAGCUUCUUCCCAAUCUUUUCUUGCUUAUACUGGGUUUUAUCAUGGCUAGAGUUAGCAGAAUUCAGAAUGCCUAUGCUGUGGCCAUAACAGAGUGGCGAAAAUGUUAAAGACUGCUGCUGCAUUGAUGGCAGCAACAGUGCAUGCAAGUAAAUAAUGACAUCCACAGGGCAACUAAGUUCAAAGGCCACAGGAAGCUGACACUGUAAAAGUCAAGCUUGGAGGAACCAAAGAUGAGGGGUUGAAGGUCCAGGUCACUGAACGGUGCUCCUGAGAGCUGCCAGAGCUUAAGGAAUGGGAUCUGAUCCUCACAGUGCAGACAGUGUUAGAGGCUGAAUCAUGACACCCAAGGCUUGGAGCAGGAACUGGCAGGCACUGAUUGAUGCUACUGCCAAGAGCUGAGGACUGUCCUAACUUCUGAGUGCUCAACCAUGGGAAAAAUCAAAACCCAGAGCAAUAAGCCUCAUAUCUGAGCAGCUAAACAUAUACCUCUGGCUGCAACACAAGAGGCUGUUUGGCAGACCUGGAGAUAUGAGCCUCAAACACCAUGCACCCAGCCCAUGGGCUUUUGGAUCUUCAGGACUGGACUGUGGACAACAUUAGAGCUACUCAUUGCCUCUAUCCAAGCCUUUUAUCCAAGCAGAACAGAAGGACCCAGCUGUCUGCUUAAUACUAAAACUAAUGCUCUAAAAUGAGAAUGGAAGCUUGGAGUACUAUGAAGAAAAAAAAGAAUAUAAUAACCCAGAAGUAAUAAAUAUAGUUUUUAAACUCUUUGAAAAUGUCCUU
rnacentral:lncRNA from 1 species